CCAACCCCAGAAAAAAUCACCGGAAAAGAACCAUUCACGCGCCCCCACGCGCCGGCGCGUGGUACCUCUUCCGGCCAUUUUUUCCGGUGACUCCUUCAGGACAGUUUGCUCGCCCUUUAAUUCCGACCCUACCCAUCCUUUUUUUCGUUCGAUUCCGACAACUUUCAGUUUUUUCCGGCGACUUUAUUGACUUUUUUGGCAGCUACAGUACUUUCCGGCCAGAAUUUCUUCAGGACAGUUUGCUCAACCUUGAAUUCCGAGCCUAUCCAUAUUUUUAUUUUUCAAUUCCGACAACUUUGAAUUUUUCCGGCAGCUACAGUACUUUACCGGCAGCUACUGUGUUCCAGUUUUCCGGCAGCGCCAGUUGUCAGUUCUCUGUUUCAGUUUUAGCGAGUUUUCAGUUGGUAAUCCAAAGAUGUCUUUGGGACUAGAGGCUUUUGGGUCUAGAAACCAGGGUUCUGGCAGUUCCGGUAUUAUGAUUACCUCAGAACCUUUAAUGGG
rnacentral:lncRNA from 1 species